UACGGGGGGGGCAAGCGUUAUCCGGAAUUAUUGGGCGUAAAGAGCUCGUAGGCGGUUUGUCGCGUCUGCCGUGAAAGUCCGGGGCUCAACUCCGGAUCUGCGGUGGGUACGGGCAGACUAGAGUGAUGUAGGGGAGACUGGAAUUCCUGGUGUAGCGGUGAAAUGCGCAGAUAUCAGGAGGAACACCAACGGCGAAGGCAGCUCGCUAGGACGGUACUGACGCUAAGGCGCGAAAGCGUGGGGAGCGAACAGG
rnacentral:rRNA from 1 species